rnacentral:rRNA from 1 species
UACGAAGGGGGCUAGCGUUGCUCGGAAUUACUGGGCGUAAAGCGCACGUAGGCGGCUUUCUAAGUCGGGGGUGGAAAUCCUGGAGCUCAACUCCAGAACUGCCUUCGAUACUGGAGCGUUGAGUUCCGGGAGAGGUGAGUGGAACUGCGAGUGUAGAGGUGAAAUUCGUAGAUAUUCGCAAGAACACCAGUGGCGAAGGCGGCUCACUGGCCCGGUAUGACGCUGAGGUGCGAAAAGC